rnacentral:misc_RNA from 1 species
GAGUAAGGGUGCUCAGCGCCCGACCUCCAACCCUCUGUUGUUAAAACUACCUUGUUGCUUUGGCGGGACCGCUUUGGUCCGUCCGAGCCGCCGGGGCCGUCAAAAGCCCAGGCGAGUUCCCGCCAGAGUUAAACCAAACUCUUGUUAAUUAAACCGGUCGUCUGAGUUAAAUUUUUGAAUAAAUCAAAACUUUCAACAACGGAUCUCUUGGUUCU